CGGGCCAUCUGAAGUCCACCCCAACGUUCAAGCGCUGGCCCAAAACUCCCUCCGCAAACACAAUUUGAAAAACUGUAGUAACCGAAGAUUCGGAGGUUAACAGUAAUAUGGAUUUUGAGUGUUCAAAUCCGAGCUUGUGGAGAGAGGCUCUUUCUUCUUACCAAGCUCGUGUAGAAUCUCUGAACAAACCAGACCUUGUUUCACUAGAUGAUUUUUACCGUAACGAACUCCCUUCUCUUAUCUACCAACGAAACCCUAACCCUUACAUCACCACCACGGAGCUUUCCAAACUCAUGAGGUGGAAACUCACUCGCGGCAAAUGGAGGCCGCGUUUGUUGGAUUUCGUGUCUUCUUUGGACGAAUCUUCGGUGGAAUCUGCAUCGCAAAAGGCAUUCAAAUCUCUUCCUGAUUUAAAAAAAGCAACUUCUGAACUGACUGUUUUGAAAGGCGUGGGUCCUGCCACGGCUUCUGCCGUUUUGGCUGCUUACGCACCUGAUGUGGCGCCGUUUAUGUCCGAUGAGGCUAUGGAGGCAUGUCUUGGUAACUGUAAAGACUAUUCACUGAAGCAGUACUUAUUGUACGCUGAUAAAUUACAGGCAAAAGCUAAGGGGUUGUUGGUAUGACACCGCUUCGGUCUUUAUAUGGUUGUGACCCAUGCACACUUUUGAAGUUCAUAGAAGAGCCUUCUUUGAAUGAAGAGCAAAAUCUUAAACUUUGGGCCAGAGCUCUUAAUUGUCUUUUAAAAUACAACAGACAGUGGGCACCCUAUUCUGUAUUAAUAAGGUUGGGGGUAUUUAUGCUUCGAUGAAGUAGGAGAUGAAACCUAUGAUAUUCUUGUGGCCAUGCUUUAUUGCUUUAGUUGGUUCUUCUUAUUGCCUAAACUUGCAAGUGGUUGUGAAGAAAAUGUUGUGAAUAGAAGAUAUAAAUGAAGUGCCAGAUGACAAUGUUCUAAAUUAGUGUUUUACCUAUAUAAAAAUGUAUAAGAUGGUAUUAUGUAGAAAGUUCAUUUUUAUCAUAUGGUUUCUGGUGGAUAACAUCUUAGAAUAUAACCAAAUGUGCAUUCACUCUUUACUAGUUGAUCAGAAGGCUCAAAAUUUGUUAGUUGUAUUGUUUUAACUAACAGAAAGACAAUCUGUGUAGGAACGUGCUUAUGAUUUUUCACAUUAAGUUUGCAGUCAUGACAAGGUUU